GGGCGGGGCAGGCAUGUAGCUAGCCAUUCAUUCAGAUCCUGGUAUUAGGCCAUGGCAUAAAGGUGCCUAGUAGGUCGGACUGUCUUCCUCUCUGUCUCUCACUCGGUUUGUCCCUGGGUUUCACGCAGGAGCCAAUCGCCAGGUAUGUUGCAAUUUCGCUGCAUUGGUUAAGCUAUUCAUGCCUAGUUUUAAUACUUUACUCUUUCCAUCUGUAGCUCUGCGUCUCCCUUACUCUGCCGUGGCUGUAUGGAACCUGACCUGUCUAGCAUUAGAUAACUCUCCCCUGCAGCUUAUGACGACGGCACGGCGUGUGUUUUAAGCGUUCUUUAGGCCUACUGGCUAAUCAGUGACUGCAAGUGUUUGGUAUGUAUGAAACCGGAAUGUUGUAGCUUUUGGUGUGGCAUUUGAGACACUGAUACACUCUAAGUGUUGACUAUUUAUGUUACAGGUAGCAUGGCUUCGUCAAGUUUGCUUGUUUAGUGUGGUCACGCUGCUGUCUUGUCCAUAGCAUUAGUUUUCAUUUAUUUUUAUGUUUACGUCAUCACAGCUCCUCCGUGUCGCGGUAGCUGACCUGUUUGUGUUGCUCUUUGCUUGAUUGGGAUUUCCCAGGCGGGUUUGUUUGUUUUUGUUUGCUGGUCUGUUGUGCUUUUGCCUUAGUGUGUGUGUGUAAUCGUGUUUUCUGAGUUUGUAGUGUGUCUGCAUGCCUAGCUUUUAUCCCAGCGAGGAUUAUUUCCCUGGCUCAAGCUUUACAUCUCUAAUUGGUAUAACCUACAUGCUGGUGUUUGUGGUUGCUGUGCUCCUUUUUUUUGAUCAGUUUAUGUGUUGGCAGGCCUGUGGGUUAUCUUUGGCGGGGGGUAGCUAGUCACCUGGUGGCGGGCUUGUGAACUUCACUUUGGAGUGUACUAUGGAAUAUCGGUGGUGGCUUGCUGUGACAAUGGUGUAACACUUUUCUGCAGUGAGAGUGCACGUGUGGACACCUUCCUUGAUAGUCUGCUUCCCCCCCCAUCCAGGUAAGCCCCGCCUGCCAGUAUAAUUUUCUGUUUUAUUUUGGUGUGUGCAACAUUCCCAGCUGAUGUGUGCUUGUGCUAUUUAACUCAUGUCAUGCAUCCUACACGACAGUAGAAAGAUACAAUAAGAACACUAAAAUAAAGUGUAUAUUUUUAUAUGUUUCUAACCCCUGCCAGUUAUUUUCAGUUUCAGCAACAGAUCACACCACACUCCCCCCUCCCUCUCCCCAACAGUGCUUUCAAUAAACGGACAUUUGAUUUGAUUGGAAUUCACGUGUCUGCCUUUUUGUAUUUGAACCUGUGCAUAUUGAUGACUAAACUGGGUUCAGGAUACCUGGUGUAUUGUUCUAGAGUCCCUGGGCAUUAGGUCCAGGGUGGCGUAGUCGACACAAACAAUCUCCACUAUUGAUCCGGUCACAUUUGGCGUAGAUUCGGCAGGAUUACAUGAUCAAGGUUUAGACGUGAAUUCCAUUCUGUUUGUCCUUUGUAUUGUUUUUUUAUUUUUUUUAUUGUUGUAGGACAUUGCAAUUUGUGAAUGUUUUGUGAGUGUUGUACAAUAGACUAGAAAAAGCGGACAAGACAGCAGCUGACCUGAAGACCUCAGACCAGGAUCCUCCUGAUCUUCUGGACUUGUAGGGGUGCCUUUUCGUCAGCUGAACGAACUACUUUAUUCAGCAUUUCAACAACAUUGCGUAAUUGCUCAAAUAUGGAGGAGGAAAUGCAACAACUGAGAGAACUGAUUAAUCAGCUUAAGACUGAGAAUACACAGCUCCGCCAAGAGCGGGCUGCAGCAAAUGCUAAUAUCUCUGUUUCUCCUUCUAGACAACCUGAGCAGGACGACUCUGAUCCAUCACAAGCGCCUACAGAUCCCACACCAGCAGCUCGGGGUUCAUCCAUCGAAAGGCUGGAAGCGUUUUUCUCAAGAAAACAGCAAGAGGGAGAGAGUCUACUCGAGUUUUCCCUAGCAUUGAUGCACCUUAUGGGGAAGGUCAAACAAGCUGCACCACGUGAGGUUCUUAAUGUUGAGGUAAUGUUGCGCGAUCAGUUCAUUGAACAUGUAUGUGAUGGUUCCCUCCGUAGAGAGCUAAAGCAACUAGCACGGCGGCAACCCGCAGCAACUCUACUAG